rnacentral:rRNA from 1 species
AUGGGGGAUGGGGAGUUCCAGGUAUGCUCAGCUCAGUUGGUUGCACACACUGGAGGUGGAAGAACUGCCCUGCAGCUCAAAUGCCAUGCGAAGGAUACCACCAUCAUUCUUGAAGCCAUUGUAGAUCAGGAGACAUGGCUUUGGAUGCCUAGAGCUUGCAAUGACAUCAAUGUGCUCCACCGAUCAACACUAUUUGCACGGUUAUCCAAUGAGGAAUCACCACCGGUGGAGUUUCAAGCAAAUGGCCACACAUACAAGGGGUACUACCUAGCAGGUGGGAUAUACCUAAAGUGGGCAACCUUUGUGAUGCCAUUUCCCAGCCCCCAAGGUAAGAAACAACUUGGUUUCCAUAGUGCUCAAGCAGAUGAUAGGAAGGAUGUAAAGAGGAUAUUUGGGAUUAUGCAAGCCCAGUUUGCUAAUUUGCAGGGACCGGCUCGGUUUUUUGAGCAAGAAAUCCUUUAG